GAUGAACGCUGGCGGCGUGCCUAAUACAUGCAAGUCGAGCGAACGGACGAGAAGCUUGCUUCUCUGAUGUUAGCGGCGGACGGGUGAGUAACACGUGGAUAACCUACCUAUAAGACUGGGAUAACUUCGGGAAACCGGAGCUAAUACCGGAUAAUAUUUUGAACCGCAUGGUUCAAAAGUGAAAGACGGUCUUGCUGUCACUUAUAGAUGGAUCCGCGCUGCAUUAGCUAGUUGGUAAGGUAACGGCUUACCAAGGCAACGAUGCAUAGCCGACCUGAGAGGGUGAUCGGCCACCCUGGAACUGAGACACGGUCCAGACUCCUACGGGAGGCAGCAGUAGGGAAUCUUCCGCAAUGGGCGAAAGCCUGACGGAGCAACGCCGCGUGAGUGAUGAAGGUCUUCGGAUCGUAAAGCUCUGUUAUUAGGGAAGAACAUAUGUGUAAGUAACUGUGCACAUCUUGACGGUACCUAAUCAGAAAGCCACGGCUAACUACGUG
rnacentral:rRNA from 1 species